rnacentral:tRNA from 1 species
AUUAAGUAACUUAAUUUAAAGUCUUGAUCUCUUAAAUCAAUUUAUAAUAAUUAAAAAUUAUUCUUAAUGAU